UCUUCUUUUCUAGUGAAAUGUGCAUUGGAGAACCUGACUCAUCCAGUUCAUCGUUUUCUUCCCCGAGAAUAAAGGCAUUGUUUAUGAAGGAUUUGAAAUCUCCACUGAAGUUUUUCCACUUCAGGCCACUUCAAAUUAACAUUUUCUAAUCAUCAAAGAAUCCUGAAAAAAGUAUCACCAUUUCCACAAAAAUGUUAAGCAGCACAACCAUUUUCAACAUUGAUAAUAAUUAGAAAUUUUGCAUGAGCACCAAAUCAGCAUAUUAAAUGAUUCUGCUAAAUUUAAAUUAUUAUUUAAAUUCUUUAUAUACCUGUUUAUCCUUUAACUGAUCUACAUUACAGAUGAGAUUUCAAUCAGGAUUCAGGAGCUUAUUAGUCUGGAGGUUGGAGAUGUUUACUGCACAUAUUUUUUUUUUUUUUCUCAACAGGAGCUGUAAGGAAUAACCAGUCCUCUACCAGUGCAGCAGAUUCUUGCCUUUGACUGUGGCGAUGACCAGAAGGAAUGUGCCAAAGCCAAAGAGGCCUUAACUGAGAUGCCUCAUGGGAAUUAAACGGCACAUAUGAAGUGGUUUGUAAUACCAUGGUUUUCCGACCUGUCCCGAUUGGUUCUUGAUGUGUUUAUGGUUCAUUAUAUGAAAUUAUUUUUUGUAUGUUUAUUUUUUCCCCAUUUCUUCUAUUUUUUUUUUUUUCUUCUUUACUUAUACAUUAAGAAAGGUCGUGAGAUUGUUUAACUGUUUGUGUAUCAAUGUUUUAAAGUAUAGUUCACCGGAAAAUGAGAAUUUGCUGUUAAUUUACUCACCCUCAAGCCAUCCAUGAUGUAGGUGACAUUUUUUUUCUUCAGUUGAACAGUAAAGAUUUUUAGCGUGGUCCUUGGUGAUUCGUAUAAUGCAAGUCAAUGGCUACCGUCACUUUGAGAGUCAUUAAAACAUAUUACAGGCAAAACAAAGUUAAUACCUGUGACUGAUGCUGACG